AUGAGAUCUGGAGCUGACGAAAAGCCUAACACUGAGAUGGAGAGUAGGAAUCGUUCCAAUCCGAGGAAGAACAGUAGCAGUAAGUCCAAUCGAGUUGCGCCACCUGAGAGUCUAGGGCGCUUGCUGCAGCAACUCAAGGAGAAGGAAAAACUCAAGGAGGGGAAGUCGGAGGCGACGUCGGAACGAGUUAAUUCACUCCGGGAGGAAAUCAGGACGUUGCGCCUCGACCUAUUUGGUGGUCAGGGAGGAACACGCGGCAUAUCGACGCAGUCGAUGAUCCAUCCAUCGCCUCGCGAGUUCACAAAGAUGGAAGGGGAAUCUGCUUCCGGUUCCGGUAAGCGGCAGCAUCAGCUUGUUUCUUGCAGACCCCAUGAGAAUGAGAUCCGCCAGUCUCCUGCCGCCGCUCCGCCGGCGACGCCCCACCAUGAUUCAGCCAUGGAUGAGCAGCAGGUCCAUAAAAAAGUUGAUGUCUCCGGUGACGGUGAUAACAAUGAUAUGAAGAAGGAGAUGGAUAGAGGCAAAUCGGCCCAGCAAAUAGCCAAAGAGGAGGAGAUGGCCUUUGAGGCCAACAGCUUUGCCUCAUACCGUAAAAGUUGGGAAUCGAACUGGGGAGCUUGUAGCCGCGGGUUCUUCGAAGACACGACCACCGUGAGUCCCAUGCACUUUACCCACUGCACACCUGGAUGCGACCCAGGAAAUGCCGCCAUCGCUGGGGCCACCCUGCAGAUCUUCACCAUCAAGCUCGAGGAGUUAAAAGGCGGCCUUGAGUGGCCAUUGUCUGUGUAUGGUGUGGUUGCUGCGCGAGACUGCGUGGAUCACAGCCGCAACCUCCUCUUCUCUUGCGAUAGGUGGAGGUCGCAGAAGCUCAGUCAGGAAGAUCCUUUCUUGCGCUUAAUUGGCCCGUCUCGUGCCAUUGUGUUUACCGAUGAUGUUUACUUUGAAACCGAGCUAAGAGUAAAAGGCAAAACAUUGUCUCAAGAUAUAGCAUUGAUUAGUGAGAGGCGCCAUUACAGCGGAGGACGUACCAUUUCCUUCAGCAACUGCUUCUGCAGAAUAGAGUUAUGCAUGGAACGAAUUCAUGAAACUGUCCAGGCCACUAUAUUGGGUGUCCGUGUCAAAAAUGGACCAUGGCCUUUCGAUUAUGGUGGUAAAGUGGCUUGCCUCUCACCAUCGUGGACAUAUAAGGUCACUGGUGGUAAAGUCUUUUAUACUACUCAUGCCCCGUCCAUGGAAGUUGUGAUGCUUGCUUCACGUGGCAGAACAAUGCCUAAGGGUUCAUGUGGUUACCUUCGUCUAUCAAGGCAUGUAGUUUCUGUAGAACUAGAAGGAAGCCUGAAUGUUGUCAUACAAGCUUACUCAGAAUCUGGUGAUAUCACCACACAAGGUGAGGUUUCCUUCAUGCCCAAAGCUUGCAAUAUAAGUCAGGAGACAUGUUUCUUGGAUGACAGUGACCCUAAGGUGGAAGUGGAAAUUACUGUCGCUUGGUCUCUUCUUGUUUCGAACAGGCGUCAUUUGAUGAUGAAUGGAAUGGACUUUGGCGAGUUGAAGGAAGCGGUCAGUGGGAUGGGAGUUUGA
rnacentral:rRNA from 1 species